rnacentral:rRNA from 1 species
GAAGCCAUGCAUGCCCGCUCACCCGGGACGCGGCGGACGGCUCAGGACGACGGUUGCACCCCCCGCGGCGGUCCCUGCUAGCCGGACACCGCUGGCAACCCGGCGCCAAGACGUGCGCGCAAGGGC